GGACCCGUAGCUCAGUGGUAGAGCGUGAGAUUCCAGUGAGUGAGCUGUUUCCUCAAGGUCAUCCGUUCAAUCCGGGUCGGGUUCA